GAUGAACGCUGGCGGCGUGCUUAAUACAUGCAAGUCGAACGGAGACUGUAGCAAUACUGUCUUAGUGGCGAACGGGUGAGUAACGCGUUGGUGACCUGCCCCGAAGAGGGGGAUAACAGUCCGAAAGGAUUGCUAAUACCCCAUGUGGUCGUUUGGAUUAGAUGCCUUAUGACUAAACGGAUUUAUUCGCUUCGGGAGGGGCCUGCGUCCCAUCAGCUAGUUGGUGAGGUAAUAGCUUACCAAGGCGAUGACGGGUAGGGGACCUGAGAGGGUGGCCCCCCACAAUGGAACUGAAACACGGUCCAUACACCUACGGGUGGCAGCAGUAGGGAAUAUUGGUAAUCUGGGAAACCGGGAACCAGCAACGCCGCGUGCGCGAUGACAGCCUUCGGGUUGUAAAGCGCUUUUUAAAGGGAUGAGGAAGGACAGUACCUUUAGAAUAAGCCUCGGCUAACUACGUG
rnacentral:rRNA from 1 species